rnacentral:lncRNA from 1 species
AUGGACCAGUUGAUGGAGGAGUGUCGCUCCUUGAAGGACGAGUGUCUGACUCUAAAGAACGACAACAAGCAGCUCUCUGAGAAACUGGAGAUGCUGGAGCAGCAGCGAGCCAGCUCAGCUGAUUCAUGCCUGGCACUGAAACUAGAGCAGAAUGAUGGAGAAAAUGACACAGAAAAAGAUGUAGAGAAGGAGGUGAUUGCUGAGGGUUUUGUCAGCACGUUGAAAGUAGGAGGUGGGGAAUGGGUGGACGCUUAUACCCAAAAGAACAUCUCGUUUGAGGGCAAACCCAUCACCCCGACGGGCAUGAGUGGAGGGUUUUCAGAGGUGUUCUCCCUUAGAGACCAGCUGAAACAGGCCGAGGAGAAAGCAUCACAGGUCCAGAGAGAGUGUGAGGGACUAAAAGGAGAGCUUGUGGAACUGCAGGGGCUGUAUGAGAGCAGCCAGAGGGAGCGGGCGGAGCUAGAGGCGGAGCUUCAGCGCUGUAGGGCGGAGCUUGAUCGGCUGGCUGGGAGGAAGGCUCAGGAGAGUGAGGGAGACUGGAACCUGGUGAUGGUUGUUGCGGUGGCAGCAGCAGCAGUUCUUCUCAUUCCCAAUUUCACCAGAGCUCUGGCCUGUCUUAAGAACUAGUUUGACCAACUAGCAGUUGCCAAGGGGUAAUCAGUCUUUACUUUUCCAAUACAAAUAAUAACAAUCUUACCUUUUUAACUGAAUUAAAAAAGUUAGGACCAGUCUUGAAGAAAAAAAAUUAGGUGACUAACUUUUUUAAGACUAAUCUAAACUAAACUUUUUUGCAACCGUUUGUGUUUCGUUUUCAUUGAAAUUUGUGAGUUUGUACCUGUUUCAGUUUGGUGCCAAGAUGGAAUAUAGACAGAAUCUAAUAUUAAAAUAUCAAAAAGUAAAUGUAUAUGGCCAAUAACUGUUAACAAGCUAGUAUCAACGUUCUNNNNNNNNNNNNNNNNNNNNNNNNNNNNNNNNNAGAGUGAGGGAGACUGGAACCUGUGAUGGUGUUGCGUGGCAGCAGCAGCAGUUCUUCUCAUUCCCAAUUUCACCAGAGCUCUGGCCUGAGUGCUGGACAGGAAGUGACCUCAUCAUCCCACUCUGCCCAUGGUACACAAUUCUAUCACUCCGACCUCACUUAACCACCAACGGGAACUGAAAACCAUCACUCGCCUGGGACAUACGGGAACACUAUAACACAUGGCUUCCAAACUUGGCGCUUUUUGGUGUGCAUUGUGAUGCUGGUUGCUUGCCGUUUCAACUGCUUUCCUCUGCUUUUGUAGACAAUCAUAUCCGUUUCGACCAGCAGUGCUACAGACACUGACGCCAUGCUGUGGGUAUUUAAAUGGUCAGAAUGAAGGACGACUCCAAGAGCUUCUGAUUGGUCUGACUCCCGCUUUCCAUUUCAUCAGUUGUUUUUUUCUUUCCAAAAACUAUUUGCCUUAUCACUUUACGAUAGAACAUUUGCACAUUUUACCUCUAUAAACAGAUUCCUGAUCUCUUUGGGACCGAAGAGGACACCAUUCUUCAUCAACAAUGCUUUGGAUGCAGGAUAUUGCUUUGUGCUUCAUUACUUUUCGAUUAG